CCCCGCACCCCCACGCAUGCGCGCGCAGGCGUACUGGUCCGCCGCCCCGCCCCGCCCACCGCCCGCCGGAGGUAGCCGUUGGGAGGCGGUUGGGCGGGGCAACGGCCGCCGCUUGGAGGCCCCGCCCCCGGCUGGGCCCUGGGGGAGCUGAGGUUUCCGACGGAAACGGGCGGUGCGCGCCGAGUCCUUGAACCUGGGCACUCCGGUCGGCCGCCUCAGGGUUGGCGGCGGAAGGACUCUUCGUUGGGGAGAAAAGCCUUCCCCGUACCGAAGGAGGAAGACCUAGAUUUAAAACAGGAGCGAGGCAGCUGAUGAGAACCACACACGCGCCUUGGAUCUGUGCUACACCUUAGCUGCGGGAACACUCCAUUCACCUUUAAUUCUUUGGAAGGCAGACCAGAUGGUUCUUGCCGACAGACAGUUUGGAUCUUCUUGCCCCCUGCUCUAAAAACUCAGGGACCUCGGCUCACGUAAACCCUUGGCCUUGUGAGCCACGCCCCCUCACCGGCACACGCAUCACAUGCUACAAUGUGGCACACAUAAACAGCCCAUCUUCCCGACCAGCCUUAUUCCUCACCGUCCCUAAGUGGGUUUUCUCCACUCCUGCACACUGGUCACCUAGCUAUCCAACCAGGUGGCCUGGCCCUUGCUUCUCAGAGGAGUGACCUGGCUAAAGUCACAUGACUGGAUUUUAGACAGGAUGACGACUGCAGCCCAAAGCUCAGGGGUCCCAGACUGGCAGAGAAACGCAUGAACCAAAUCAGCUGCAAGCCACUUCCCCAAGGAGCGGACAAGGGCCAAGGGACUGAUGUCAGAAAGCAACCAGGAGCAGACAGGAGCCACAGUCAAAGGCCCAAACUGGCCAAUGGAAUGUGUCAGAAACAAAGGCACAGCGUUGUGCCUCAACCCAGAAAGCAAUGUGAUGCUCUAGAAAACACACCCUACAAAUACUGCAGGCUAUAUAUACAGAGAGGAGUGUCAAGUCCUGACGAGACCGGGUCCUGAGCCAUCGCUGUCACAGACGGAGAAACUGAGGCACACACAGGACCAAUGACCUCUCCCCAACAUCACUGGCACAUGAGGGACAAGGGCCCACGAUCCCCUCCCCGCCGUUCCCAAACCCCAUAGCUCGAAAAGCCCAAAGAAUUUAAGUUUGCGCCAGGCCCGUGUGGUUGACAAAGGCUGUCUGAGGCCGUUCCACCUUUGUCUGUCCAGCUGUGUGUGAAUGUUACGAAGUCUGGCUACAGAAGUGUUACUUUUUGAUGAGGGAGCGCGGCCAGCCCAGAUACCUCGGGGUAUCGUGUCACGUAUAGGACACGCUGCUGGAAAGUGCAAGUUCUGAAUUCGGAGUUGGCUCGGGUGUCCCGGGCCUCCGGACACAUCUUACGGAUAAGGGUGGCCUGAGAUCCACGUCAGCGAGCAGGUGGAAUGAGCCCAAAUAAAGGUGUUUGGGGGCGGGCGGGGGGGCGGUGGGGGGAGCAGUGCAGCAGCACAGGAGAAGGGCCAGGGGACGAGGCUUCACGUCAGCUCUGCUGAGGACACCAGGAGACCUUGGGCAAGUCACUUCCCUGGAUAGGCCUUCAAUUUCCUCAUCAGGAAAAACGGGAUGACGGCGAUCCUUUGGACACCCCUCGUUGUGCCAAAGCAUUGCGGUGAUGCCUAAGAAGGCCUGGCGGAAGGGCUCUGAACUUCUUCUGUUCAUGCAGUAAGAGAUACGGUGCAGCUUAGGAAAGAACCCCACCCCCGCCUCUGACACACCAACCACACCACGGACACCCCGUGCCAGGUCCGCGACAUGCACAUCUCACACAGCGUCACACCACAGAAAAUUUGGACGCAAAGGGGUAAAACCAGGGAACCAUCUGUGCCCCAGCUGCGCCGCUCCCCCCUCCCCAAUGGCCGGGGCUCCCUCCCUGCAUCAUUCUGGCAACUACCUGGUUCAUUUGUCUUAAAGUGAAUCUUUCAGAACUGGAUUACUGCACCUAACCAUGCGAUUUUGCAUGCGAUUCCCUUACCUCACUUAGUACUAAGUUUCACAAGGAGACUUCUGGAGGCAUGAGCAAGCAGAUGUCCUAUUUGAAAAGGGUCUGACCAACAGCCCAGGUAACUGGGCCUGCCUCUUACCCUAAGAACGCCCCGAGCUCGCCUAAUUCUCAGGCUCACGGAAGAGAAGUACAGAAAGGACAAAAGUUCCAUCAGCCCCAUUUGUGCCUUUUUCCUUUUUAGCCCCGAAACGUGGUGGUGGCUUUCCUCACACUUCCUAGAGGCUCUGAUGUUUACAUCUUUGUGAGUUUUUUCUUCGUGCCUGAUUACAAGAGUAACAGAUCUUUGGUACAGACAGUCAAGUACAGCAAAAUAUAAAAUAAGAUUUAAAAAUCACGGCCUGGGGGUGCCUGGGUGGCGCAGUCGGUUAAGCAUCCGACUUCAGCCAGGUCACGAUCUCGCGG